UUGAAUGUUUCAAUGUGUUAGAGAGAGAACGUGUAUUUCGGACACAAUAUGGCGACCGACAAACGUCAAUGUUAAUUGUCAAACGCCGUUUGUGUUUUUUGCAAAGUUGUUUGUGUUUUUUGUAAAGUUGUUUGUGUUUUUUUGUUGUGUUUUAUGACUUUUAUUUUAAAAUGCCAAGUUGUUGUGUUCCUUUGUGUGGAAAUAAAAGCCGAUUGUUUCGUCUUCCAACAGGUGUUAGUAAUAGGGCUAGACUAGAAGAGAGAUGUGGGAGAAUUUAAUAGGCCGGGACGAUUUGAACGACAACUCCAGAGUUUGCGAAUUACAACAAUUUGAAGCAAAGCGAGCAGAUGGAAGGAAACUAUUGCGGCCGAAAUUUUGUUAAUAAACUGAUAUUGCAAGG